rnacentral:lncRNA from 1 species
GUUCAUUUUGCAAGUAAAAUAUUACUUGUGGGGAAAAGGCUCUGUAUAUCGACAGGUUUUUUUUUGUGUGUUCUGACAGGCCUUUCUAGUUUGAGUUACUUCUUUCUGUACACGAUGGACCUUUCUGCAGCUGUGGCAGUGGGAGGCAGAUGGGCUGUACAGUCAGCCUGAGGGGACAGGAUUGCAGCUUCAGAACUUCCCAGUACUCCCAGUCCUCUGCCAUUCAUCACAGAGCCUAAGGGACCCACGGAGACUAAAAACACUUGCACAUCUGGCCUAUAAUCCACUCCCUUGUCUUCCAAGAGCGGCUGAUUUGGCAAAGUGCUGUGCUCACCACAAGCUUCUGCAGCCAAGUGACUUUGGAACAUGCCCCAAGUAUGGAAUUCCACACAGUCUUGCAGAAGCAAAAGCGGUCUCGAAUUCUUCAGAAAGUCUGAACCUGGGUUGUGCUGCCAAAACCUUUGCGGAAGUUGAAUACAUUUUUCUUUCAGGCUGACAUGGAUUUUCUCAUAACAGUGUGAGUUUUGAAUCAUGUUGAUGAAAUGCAAGCAGCUCAUUAAAUACAGCAACUCUAACUACUCUGAAGAUUUACUGUUCAUUAACAAAUAUUUGAAUGAACUGUAGAUGAGA